CCUAUACUGUGUAAUUGAAUAUACUGUGUGUCAGUGUCGAUAAAUUUCGUAGUGCCAUUAAAUCUAACAUACUCACGACACUCCUCGAAGCCCACCUGCAGGUGAAAUUGAUGCUUUUUUGUGUAUAAACCUCUCCUGAGAAGCCUUUUAAUCCCCAACAUUAAGCAAUAUCAUUACUUUUUACACUAUUAAUUAUAACACGCUAGCUUACACGUGCUAAAAGGGCCACACGGGAGACGUGGGUGGUCACGUUAGCAUCUCUGUGUCGGUGACAACGACCACCGUCUCGUCGAGCCGUUUGUGCUUAACAACGUCACGUCAACGCUUUUGGCUUUUAUGGCGUUUUUAACAUAGACGUGGGUGUGUUUAAAUUCGUCAGGAGAUGCUCGUUAUUCCCACACAUCGCAUACUCUUUCAUGCGUCUUGGGACAGAUACAUUCUUUGAAUGGACUCUGAAACAUCGUCCUGUGCUCUAAAAAGAGACGGACUGAUUUAAAAUGUAACAAGUAUUUUUUUCUUUUACGUUGCUAAGUAUCUUAAUUUGGAUGACUCCAGUGUCACACUCUGCUGCUCUGAAUUUCCAGAGACCUUCAGAUGAUAGCUUCGCUGGAAAAAACAACUUGACAAAAUCCCAAAUCUUGUUCCGCUGAAGGGGAGAGAUCACAUUCCAUGAUGAAGGCUUAGUGCAUCGAGUCCAAACCUGCACUGCACAGGAACAAUGCUUGCAAGGGACAGAGUCAUCAGGUGCAAUCAUGGAGACAUUUAAAGGAUGCAGGCCACCGUGAAAAAACAACGAGGCGCCCUCCUCCCCCCUGACUCACCCAAAGUGAUCUCGCUUGAACGCUGACAUCAAAACAAACAGACAGACAGGAAAUAAGCUGUGGCACCGCAUCAACAAACAGCUGUCAAGCGUCCCCGCGUUACAUGACGGGCUGGGCCACAGCAGACAUUUUUUCAAAUGUGAAAAAAACUACAACAAUAUAAACUGUUGUGUUGCGGAGAGGACAUCCUGAGCUAUCAUCCUGAGCUUUCCGGUGGUGGUUUGUCCAAUGAAAUAGAAGAUCCGUCUUCCCAAAAUGGUUUUGCCUUACACACCAGCAUGUUGUGUGGGCACAAGAGAGGAAGCCAGAGGACUCAGAAAACCCCCCCAGCAAGCUCGACGAGAACAGGUCAAGUUCGAACAAGAGGUUCAACUAGAGACUAAAACCUGGAUCCGCUGACUGUCUGCCAGAUAUGAGACCACUACCAUCCUACGUGAGAUGGUCUGCACCUGGUUCCGUCAUUGGUACACCUGUGUCUUACCGCGAUCCUUGUGUCUCGUCCAAUCAGCUCUCUCCGUCCAUCCGUGCCCGGUCAAGAACUUUGCCUGGAAUGAUCCUAACCUGUCACGGUGGGGUCGCAUUUUACUGCGUGGAUUGUUCUCCCAGGAUGCAGACGGAACUCCGGAGGCAAGGUGCAGGUCCACAGCAUGAGCUCUCAGCUGCAAGAAAACAUCCACAGAUGAAGCGCACACAAUGGGCAGAACAAAUACCGAGAGUACCUACGGACACUAUUCUGGCUUUGUCUGCUUCAAGGUUUCAAGUAACCCUCAAUUCCAACCCUUGAUGCUGAGUGCCAAGCAAUCUCUCCCGGCUGGCCUGGGAACGCCUCGGGAUCCCCCGGGAGGAGCUGGACGAAGUGGCUGGGGAGAGGGAAGUCUGGGCUUCCCUGCUUAGGCUGCUGCCCCCGCGACCCGACCUCGGAUACGCGGAAGAAGAUGUAAUAUCUAAUCAAACCCCUUUGAAAAAUUAAAUGUCUUAUUAUUAUCAUUGACUAAUAUUAUUAUUUUGCUAGCUAAAAUGUUUUUGAGAGCUUUAUAAUCCUCAUGACAGACCAACAAAUAUUAACAACAAAUAUCCAGAAAGACCUACAGGUCGACGGCCGUUUUGGGGGAAAAUUGGGCCGGUUUAAUUUGUUCUUUAUUUUUUUGUGUAAUUUUCUAACCCAGGCUGUGUCACAGGCCAAUAAAAAAACAAGCUGCAAGACAGUAGGGUUGUCCCAAAACCAAUAUUUUGGUACCGGUACCAAAAUGUUUUUUGAUACUUUUCGAUACUUUUCUAAGUAAAGGGGACCACAUAAAGGCAUUAUUGGCUUUAUUUCCAGUCUGCAAAGACUCCUCCCACCCCCACCAAGGACUGUUUUCACUGCUGGACUCUAGAAAGAGGUUCCGCAGCCUCCGAAGCAGAACCUCCAGGUUCUGUAACAGCUUCUUCCCUCAAGCCGUAAGACUCUUGAACGCAUCAUCAUUAAAUUAUCCCCUCAACUCCCCCGAAAAUGGAUUAACUCGCUGGAAUAAAAAAGACAAUAUAACAUACAUCCAUAAACGUGGACGCAUGUGAAAAAGUGCAAUAU